rnacentral:rRNA from 1 species
UUCGCUAGUAAUCGCGCAUCAGCCACGGCGCGGUGAAUACGUUCCCGGGCCUUGUACACACCGCCCGUCAAGCCAUGAAAGCCGGGGGUACCUGAAGUGCGUAACCGCAAGGAGCGCCCUAGGGUAAAACUGGUGAUUGGGGCUAAGUCGUAACAAGGUAGCCGUACCGGAAGGUGCGGCUGGAACACCUCCUUUCUGGAG